UGGUGGUGUGAAUUGUCUGGUUGAUUCCGUUAACGAACGAGACCUUUGCUAGUAAAUAGUCACGAGAAAGUGGUGCGUCAAGGUGUAAUGGGCCAACUGCUGGAAGGAUCCGUUCCCCAAUGGUUGCCGAUCCGUUGCAUUGCAUUUUUUCUUGGAAGUACUUCCUACUGGGACUAUCUGUAUCAAGCAGAUGGAAGUUGAAGGCCAAAACA
rnacentral:rRNA from 1 species